rnacentral:sRNA from 1 species
CCUCAGAAGAGGAAAGUGGAAAGCCUUUCCAGUGUCCAAUAUGUGGUUUGGUUAUUAAAAGGAAGAGUUACUGGAAGCGGCACAUGGUGAUUCACACAGGUUUAAAAAGUCAUCAGUGUCCGCUCUGUCCAUUCCGGUGUGCUCGCAAGGACAAUCUCAAAUCCCACAUGAAGGUUCAUCAGCACCAGGAUCGGGGAGAGACCUUUCAGUGCCAGCUGUGCCCUUUUACUUCCUCACGCCACUUCAGCCUGAAACUCCACAUGCGUUGCCAUCAGCACUUCCUGAGGACAGAAGCCAAGCUGCAAAUCAGAAGGAGCCCAUGAAUCUUAAUUUUAAAGUGAAAGAGGAGCCUAAGGAAGGGGAGUCCCUAAGCACGACUUUGCCUCGGUCCAGCUAUGUGUUCAGCCCGGAAUCUGAAGCGUCAGCCCCAGGCGUCUCUGAGGAGGCACUAAAGCCCCAGGAAGGGAAGGGAAGUGU